rnacentral:lncRNA from 1 species
GGAAACCGCGCUUUGUUGGUGAGGUGAACCGCGUGCACGAUCCCGAGGAAGUAUUGCCAGGGAGGAAACCGCGCUUUGUUCUUGAGGUGAGCCGGGUGCGCGACCAUGAGGAAGGAUGGCGAGGGAGGAAACCGCGCUUUGUUGGUGAGGUGAAACGGGUGCACGAUCCCGAGGAAGUAUUGCCAGGGAGGAAACCGCGCUUUGCUGGUGAGGUGUUCACGGAUAAUGAAGCUGAUGUGAGAGCCCUGGAGAGAAACAUCAGUCAAAGGCAUGCAGGGAAUCCCAUCCAGCGUCCCUCUACUCUCCUCUGCAGCUUCCAUGGUUGGAAUGCUGAGCCAUUGCUAGGACGAUGAGGCUACAGGAAAGUGAAAUGCACCUGCUGCGAUCUGAUCCAACUGACCACUCCUGCUGCUCCUCCCUUGCACCUCAGGCAUCUCCUUCCAAUCUGGAGGAAACACUUUUACCUCCACUUUUCUUUUACAGUCCUCCAAACUCUGUUCCUUCUAGGGAGCACAAGUACAGAAAUAGAAACCUGGACUCCCAUCAUCCUGCUUCACAAACUUACAAUGUUAAAGAAAGAAAAAAAAAAAGACCAAGUACAUUACCUGGUAGAAUUGGAGAGAUGGGCACGAAAGAGCUGUAAAUACAGUUAGAAAACACACUAGCAUUUACAAAUGUGUAUGAGAAACAAUGAGGAGGAUUUUCAGAGACUAUCAUAACCAUUUAUUUUUCUAAUAUGUGAUAAGUAAACGCACAGAAAAUCAAUUUAAUAUUUGGGGCUUUUAUUUCUCAUUUUUUAGAUUGCCAGAAAGACUGUCCAGUGUUAUAAAGUUUGUGUCAAUAUUCUGGAAUUGGCAAUUUUGUCAUUUAUAUGGGAGAAAUAGCUAAAGGUGUAGUAUAAAGUAUUUGCUCGUAGGUAAUGGAAUGUUACCUUUACCCAAAGAUAUAAAAAAUAAACGGUAGAACAAAAA